GCAGUCGAGCGAACAGACGAGGAGCUUGCUCCUCUGACGUUAGCGGCGGACGGGUGAGUAACACGUGGAUAACCUACCUAUAAGACUGGGAUAACUUCGGGAAACCGGAGCUAAUACCGGAUAAUAUAUUGAACCGCAUGGUUCAAUAGUGAAAGACGGUUUUGCUGUCACUUAUAGAUGGAUCCGCGCCGCAUUAGCUAGUUGGUAAGGUAACGGCUUACCAAGGCAACGAUGCGUAGCCGACCUGAGAGGGUGAUCGGCCACACUGGAACUGAGACACGGUCCAGACUCCUACGGGAGGCAGCAGUAGGGAAUCUUCCGCAAUGGGCGAAAGCCUGACGGAGCAACGCCGCGUGAGUGAUGAAGGUCUUCGGAUCGUAAAACUCUGUUAUUAGGGAAGAACAAAUGUGUAAGUAACUAUGCACGUCUUGACGGUACCUAAUCAGAAAGCCACGGCUAACUACGUGCCAGCAGCCGCGGUAAUACGUAGGUGGCAAGCGUUAUCCGGAAUUAUUGGGCGUAAAGCGCGCGUAGGCGGUUUUUUAAGUCUGAUGUGAAAGCCCACGGCUCAACCGUGGAGGGUCAUUGGAAACUGGAAAACUUGAGUGCAGAAGAGGAAAGUGGAAUUCCAUGUGUAGCGGUGAAAUGCGCAGAGAUAUGGAGGAACACCAGUGGCGAAGGCGACUUUCUGGUCUGUAACUGACGCUGAUGUGCGAAAGCGUGGGGAUCAAACAGGAUUAGAUACCCUGGUAGUCCACGCCGUAAACGAUGAGUGCUAAGUGUUAGGGG
rnacentral:rRNA from 1 species